rnacentral:rRNA from 1 species
GAUCAUGGCUCAGGAUGAACGCUGGCGGCGUGCUUAACACAUGCAAGUCGAGCGAAGCACUUAAGUUUGAUUCUUCGGAUGAAGACUUUUGUGACUGAGCGGCGGACGGGUGAGUAACGCGUGGGUAACCUGCCUCAUACAGGGGGAGUAACAGUUAGAAAUGGCUGCUAAUACCGCAUAAGACCACAGUACUGCAUGGUACAGUGGUAAAAACUCCGGUGGUAUGAGAUGGACCCGCG